GGGCAAGAUUGCAAGUAUAUUUCUGUUGAUUCCCAUAUUCAAAAUGGAAAUAAUGAUCGUAAUAGGAAGUGACAGGCAAAUUCGUUCCAUCAUGUCACUUGCGGUCUAGACUUGUGGACAUAUGCCCAAAAGGAAAAUGGCCGCGGUGGAAUUGGAAGUGACGUAAGUGGGGACAUCACGUCACUCCCGAUCGACUGGAGGUGUUGAAAUUUGACCUCCCACCAUUCUGG